UGUUCCCUAUCAGUAACCUGUGUUCUUAAGUUCCUAUAAAUAUCCUAGGAGCCUUACCAGUAGCCUACGUUCCAUAUCAGUAGCAUGUGUUCCUGGAAAAUGACUAUCACUCAACACUAAUGGUGACCCCAUCUAAAAAACUAGACACAAUUAGAACUUUAUCGGAAACUACUUUUUAUUUCAUGUGACUUAUAACUAAAAAGUUUCUCCUAAGUCUCUGGCAUAUAAAAUUCUUGUGCUUUUGUGAACAUAUUUAGGAUUGAAAGCCAACUCAAAUCAGCCUGAUAGAAAAUUUAAAAAAUCAUUUUUUUUAUUUGUAUACAUAAUAUGUGACACUGAAUUAUUUUAAUGUUCAGAGUUUUAUUGGGUAGUAUUACUUAUUCUAGUGAUUUACUUUCAAAUGUUAUAUUUUAAAAUGUUUUACACAUAACAUGUAAUAUUCACAUUAAAAAUAAAAGUUUUUAAAACAAUAUUCCAAUCCCAC